GGCUGGUCCAAAGGUAGUGAGUUACCUCAACUGACUGUUUAUAGUCAGCUACAGACUGAACUUCUACUUUUUCUCUCUUUCUCACUAUUGCACUUGACUAGUCAAAG
ensembl:misc_RNA Y_RNA Y RNA